rnacentral:rRNA from 1 species
GACGAAGGGGGCGAGCGUUGUUCGGAAUCACUGGGCAUAAAGCGCACGUAGGCGGUGCCGUAAGUCGGAUGUGAAAUCCCUCGGCCUAACCGAGGAACUGCGUCCGAUACUGCGGUGCUUGAGGAUCAGAGGGGUGCAUGGAAUUUCCGGUGGAGCGGUGAAAUGCGUUGAUAUCGGAAGGAACUCCGGCGGCGAAAGCGAUGCACUGGCUGAUUUCUGACGCUGAGGUGCGAAAGCCAGGGGAGCAAACGGG